UCCUACGGGGCGCAGCAGUGGGGAAUAUUGCACAAUGGGGAAACCCUGAUGCAGCGACGCCGCGUGAAGGAAGAAGUAUUUCGGUAUGUAAACUUCUAUCAGCAGGGAAGAAAAUGACGGUACCUGACUAAGAAGCCCCGGCUAAAUACGUGCCAGCAGCCGCGGUAAUACGUAUGGUGCAAGCGUUAUCCGGAUUUACUGGGUGUAAAGGGAGCGCAGGCGGCGCGUUAAGCCUGGUGUGAAAGCCCGCGGCCCAACCGCGGGACUGCAUUGGGAACUGGCGCGCUGGAGUGCCGGAGGGGUAG
rnacentral:rRNA from 1 species